AAAAGACAAGGAACAUUUCUCUGUCUAGGUACUUUUCAAAGCCUAGAUAGGCAAGGAAGCCAAAACCAUCCUUCCAAACUCCCUCUCUUCCUCCUCUAGCCAGUGACAUCUUCAACCCAAGGUCACCAGGUUUGGAAACAAGUCCUUUGAAUCCAAGGAGACUGGACGUGGUUUUGGAAGUUAAACAGUCUCAGGAUUAAGUCAUUAUUAGCUGUGUGACCUUGAACACAGUUACCCAAUUCCCUCCCUCAGCUUCUUCCACAUUUGUAAACAAAGGAAUUAGUGUUUAUACUCACUAAGUUAAUAUUCAGCCUUGAUAUGAACAUUUUCCUGCAGGUAUCAACCUAUCAAAAUGCUAUACACAGCGGCAGCAGGGGCCUGGAGGCUGAGAUCCACAGGCGUGUGCUGGUUUGUCAAGAUUGUGAGAAUAUCCACAGGGACCACAUGGGAGAGGCCGGAUGACCUGUAAGAUUGGGGUGCUCUGCGGAUGAAGGGUAGACUUUACCGGAGCAGCCAUUGCUAGAUGGCGUUGGACUAGCAAGUACAACACUACAAAUGUAACAGGCUCAGUAGGGGCUUUGCAAGUGGGUUUGCACUUCUAGGGGGAUGUGCUCUGUGUCUGGUUCUGUCGCUCUGUUGGUCUAUUUGGGCUAUGCUAGGGCUUCCAUGUUGUCUGUCCCUCAAGGUUUAUGGGAUGGCAGCUUGGCCCCACAGUGGGUGGUGGUACUAGGAAGUCCUGCAGAACUUUUGGGAGCUGGUGCCUAAUGGGAAGUCCUUAGUCCACUGCUGUGGGACCCCACUUAUUCUCUGGCUUCCUGUUUCUAGCGAUGCUCUCUUCCUCAGUCACCUGUGCUCCACCGUGGUGUGAAGGAGCCAAGAGGACUCUCACUGGAGCUGAGCUAACGCCAGUGCCUUCCCCUUGAACCUGCCAGAUUGUGAGCAAAUAAACCUCUUUUCUUUACAA
rnacentral:lncRNA from 1 species